rnacentral:rRNA from 1 species
UAAGGAAUCUUGCACAAUGGGGGAAACCCUGAUGCAGCAACGCCGCGUGAACGAUGAAGGCCUUUGGGUUGUAAAGUUCUGAUCUUGGGGAAGAAGGAAGUGACGGUACCCAAGGAGAAAGCCCCGGUUAACUACGUGCCAGCAGCCGCGGUAAUACGUAGGGGGCAAGCGUUAUCCGGAAUUAUUGGGCGUAAAGAGUGCGUAGGUGGUUACCUAAGCGCAAGGUUUAAUCUUGAGGCUCAACCUCAUUCUGCCUUGCGAACUGGGCUACUUGAGUGCAGGAGGGGAAAGCGGAAUUCCUAGUGUAGCGGUGAAAUGCGUAGAUAUUAGGAAGAACACCGGUGGCGAAGGCGGCUUUCUGGACUGUAACUGACACUGAGGCACGAAAGCGUGGGGAGCAAACAGG